rnacentral:rRNA from 2 species
GCUCAGGACGAACGCUGGCGGCGUGCUUAACACAUGCAAGUCGAACGGAAAGGCUCUUUCGGGAGUACUCGAGUGGCGAACGGGUGAGUAACACGUGGGUGAUCUGCCCUGCACUUUGGGAUAAGCCUGGGAAACUGGGUCUAAUACCGGAUAGGACCAUGCUCUAGUGUGUCAUGGUGGAAAGCUUUUGCGGUGUGGGAUGAGCUCGCGGCCUAUCAGCUUGUUGGUGGGGUAAUGGCCUACCAAGGCGUCGACGGGUAGCCGGCCUGAGAGGGUGGACGGCCACAUUGGGACUGAGACACGGCCCAGACUCCUACGGGAGGCAGCAGUGGGGAAUAUUGCACAAUGGGCGCAAGCCUGAUGCAGCGACGCCGCGUGGGGGAUGAAGGCCUUCGGGUUGUAAACUCCUUUCAACAGGGACGAAGCU